rnacentral:rRNA from 1 species
AUGCCAGCCUUCACGUUAGGAGCCAAGUUCUGCGUCAACAACGGUACCUCAACGCGAUUUUGGCUAGACCAUUGGUUUGGUACGGAACCCUUGUGGCGGAGUCAUUUCGCUGCCUACCAAUUAGUCACUAACGUUGAUAUCCUUGUGGCUGACGCGCUUAGUUCCAAUCCGCCCGCUGUCUCUUUCAAAAGACCCCUCCUCGCUAACGAACGAGCCUGUUGGGACGGGCUUGUUGCUGCUUUGGAUGGAGUGGUUCUCCGCCUUGAGGCCGACUCAGUCUCCUGGGCCCUCUCGCGCUCUGGGAAGUUUUCUGUCCAAUCCCUUUACAACAAACUGACCGAGGGACCGACCCUGGACAUAGCUAGGGGGCUAUGGAAAGCGUCUAUUCCCCUGAAGAUCAAAAUUUUCUUAUGGCAAAUGUUUCGUGACCGCCUGCCCUCCUCUAAUAACAUCGCUCUUAGGAACGGGCCUUCCGAUGGCUCUUGCGUGCUAUGCGGACAACACGAAGAUGCCAAUCACAUCUUUUUUCACUGCCACCUUGCCCGCUUUGCUUGGAGUGCGGUUAGGGAGGCUUUUGAUCAGAAUUGGAACCCGCUCUCGGCUUCGGAUCUUCGUGUUAUUCUUGUCGCUCAUAGGGGUGGUUUUGGGCGUGUGCUGUGGAGAUGCGUGGGUGCUUUGUUGUGGGCCAUCCAGACUACAUGCAACAAGAUGACUAUUGAGCACAAAUUUCCUUCUCACCCGGCUGACAUUAUUUUCAAAUGCCACUUGUUCCUUCAGACAUGGACGCCGUUGGGGAAACGGCGUGAUGCGGACCGGAUGACGGAGGCUAUGGAGCGGAUCCGUUUGAUCCAGAUUGGCGCCCGCCACUAG